rnacentral:rRNA from 1 species
UUUGAUGGCAUUCUAAAAGAUAAGAAUUGCAGGAUCAGAACUGGUUAGUACUUGGAAGGGAGAUCACCAAGAAAUUCCAGGGCUGUCGGAU